UGUACUGUGGCUUAGUUGGUUAAAGCGCUGGUCUAAGAAAUAUGGAGUUGUGAGUUCGAAUCCCACCCGAACAU
rnacentral:tRNA from 1 species